GAUUGCUUCAGCAGAACACAUACUAAAUUUAGAAUGACAGAGAGAAGGUGAGCAUGGCCCUCGAGCAAGGAUGACAUGCAAAUUCAUGAAGCAUUCUAUAUGUUU